AAACCUGAGAAACCCGAAAGAUCGAAUGGGAAGAUUCAGCGUCAGCGGCGUAUUCUCGGCGGAUCGUGCGUCGUCCUCUGACUUCUGUCUUGGGACUCGUAUUCUUUCCAUGCCUUGUUUUGCGUCGUCGUCGUGCACUUCUUCCCUAGUAGAACGUCGCGACCCGUUGGGUGUCGGUAUACGGUACGAGCGGUAGACUGUCGCGUCGCUUCGGCGCACGCGGCAGACCCUCGGUCACCCGACCGGCUGCCCGGCGGUCGAACGUAUAAGGUAUCUUGCCGCAAUUAUCGAACGUGCGUCGGGCCCGUCGCAAGCGAGGCCAGUAUUUAUCGGAGUUACGGACCUGGCGCCGUACCCGUGACUGGCCAGCUGUUUGCAGGCGGAGUCCUUUGACGGGCAAUACACAAUGAUACCGGUCUGCGACGCUACUGCUUUGGGUACUCUCAGGACCCGUCUUGAAACACGGACCAAGGAGUCUAACAUGUGCGCGAGUCAUUGGGACCGCAAAGCCUAAAGGCAUAAUGAAAGUGAAGGUCGUACUCUAAGGUCGACCGAGGGAGGAUGGGCCGCGUUUACGCGUUGCUCCGCACUCCCGGGGCGUCUCGCUCUCAUUGCGAGAAGAGGCGCACCCAGAGCGUACACGUUGGGACCCGAAAGAUGGUGAACUAUGCCUGGUCAGGACGAAGUCAGGGGAAACCCUGAUGGAGGUCCGUAGCGAUUCUGACGUGCAAAUCGAUCGUCGGAACUGGGUAUAGGGGCGAAAGACUAAUCGAACCAUCUAGUAGCUGGUUCCCUCCGAAGUUUCCCUCAGGAUAGCUGGCACUCGUUCGUUCAUAAUUGAACGUUAAACGAGUCUCAUCUGGUAAAGCGAAUGAUUAGAGGCCUUGGGGCCGAAACGACCUCAACCUAUUCUCAAACUUUAAAUGGGUGAGAUCUCUGGCUUGCUUGAACUAUGAAGCCACGAGAAAAAUUAUAAUAUAAUAUAACGGAUCAAGAGCCAAGUGGGCCAAUUUU
rnacentral:rRNA from 1 species